UACAGAGGUCUCAAGCGUUGUUCGGAUUCAUUGGGCGUAAAGGGUGCGUAGGUGGCGCCGUAAGUCGGGUGUGAAAUUUCGGAGCUUAACUCCGAAACUGCAUUCGAUACUGCGGUGCUUGAGGACUGGAGAGGAGACUGGAAUUCAUGGUGUAGCAGUGAAAUGCGCAGAUAUCAGGAGGAACACCGGUGGCGAAGGCGGCCUUCUGGACAGUGACUGACGCUGAGACGCGAAAGCGUGGGGAGCAAACAGG
rnacentral:rRNA from 1 species